CAUCAUGGUUUACAUACUACAGUCAAGAUGCGAAUCAUUAUUUGCUGCUCUAGAAAUUUAAGGAAAUUCAU
rnacentral:miRNA from 1 species